UACGUAGGGAGCUAGCGUUGUCCGGAAUCAUUGGGCGUAAAGCGCGCGUAGGCGGCCCGGUAAGUCCGCUGUGAAAGUCAAAGGCUCAACCUUUGAAUGUCAGCGGAUACUGCCGGGCUAGAGUCCGGAAGAGGCGAGUGGAACUCCUGGUGUAGCGGUGAAAUGCGCAGAUAUCAGGAGGAACACCUAUUGCGAAGGCAGCUCGCUGGGACGCAACUGACGCUGAGACGCGAAAGCGUGGGGAGCAAACAGG
rnacentral:rRNA from 1 species